AGUGAACGCUGGCGGUAGGCCUAACACAUGCAAGUCGAACGGCAGCACAGUAAGAGCUUGCUCUUACGGGUGGCGAGUGGCGGACGGGUGAGGAAUACAUCGGAAUCUACUUUUUCGUGGGGGAUAACGUAGGGAAACUUACGCUAAUACCGCAUACGACCUACGGGUGAAAGCAGGGGAUCUUCUGACCUUGCGCGAUUGAAUGAGCCGAUGUCGGAUUAGCUAGUUGGCGGGGUAAAGGCCCACCAAGGCGACGAUCCGUAGCUGGUCUGAGAGGAUGAUCAGCCACACUGGAACUGAGCCACGGUCCAGACUCCUACGGGAGGCAGCAGUGGGGAAUAUUGGACAAUGGGCGCAAGCCUGAUCCAGCCAUACCGCGUGGGUGAAGAAGGCCUUCGGGUUGUAAAGCCCUUUUGUUGGGAAAGAAAAGCAGCAGGUUAAUACCCCGCUGUUCUGACGGUACCCAAAGAAUAAGCACCGGCUAACUUCGUG
rnacentral:rRNA from 1 species